AAGAAGAUUGUUUACUGUAUUACUGGGCUGAGUAUUGGUAUCAUUGCUGUAGUGACUAUGAUAACAGUAGCUCUAACAAAGACUCAUUUAGAUGGAGACAAUAUAGAAGAAAGACCUAGACUGUGGAUAUGCACAUUGGCAGGGGAUAAUGCUUCAAAAGAAAAGUGUGAAAAUGUUGGCUGCACUUACAAUGAAACUGCAACUGAGGACACCCCGAAUUUCCCAAAAUGCUUUUACCCAACAACAAACUUUGGU